rnacentral:sRNA from 1 species
CCCUAUAAACCUCAAUCUAGAUGUCGGAGAUGCCCAGAAGAUGGAUUCCGAUGUAAUUUAUCGUCUUCUGAAGAUGAAGAACAAGAAGACGAAGAAAAAUAUUAGUUU